GUGAAGUGCACACAGAUAACUCCGCAGAACCAGGUGACGUUCGUAAUAAGCUGUCACUCUCGUGUUUUCAUCGGAGUUACUAGUUAACAGUAACAAAUUGUCCUUUUGGCCAUCUUUGACUCCAUGUUGGACUACAACCAGGGAUGUUGAGCUUUCAUCAGGAUUCAAGAUGCCCAUUUGUGAUGCUGAUGUACUUCAGAAGGCCUGACAACUAACUGCAUCGAGCAGACAGAAUUGGAGGACAACACCCAGGAACCAGGAAGGACGCCAGGUGAUCUGGAGACAAACACAGCUGUUGCCUUGGUUGCAGUGUCAGAUCCAGACAGCCAUUUUGAUGUGAGCCGUCUCACCGGGAUGCACCACGUGGUCUGAAACCAUCCCUGAGCGUCCUUGUUGACCCACAUGUUUACAUUUUGGACAGUACCUGUCUGAUCUUUUAACCAUCUUGAAAUGCAGUCGGUCUUAUUAUGCAUAUAUAUUUUUAAGAGCAGAUAAGUGUGAAAAUGUAAA